GGCUCCGGGGCUGAUUAGGAGGACAUUUGUCCAGGAACCCAGAAAAGAUAAUGGUCAUCAAAAGUAGUUCCAGAUGUCCCACAUAAACAAAAUGCAUCUAAACGCAGCCUCUGCUCUCACCAUGUGGCCUUCUGAAUCAUCACCCCAACUGCCUAUCAGCGGAACAAAGAGUGGACCUGAGUGAUAAUCAGAAUCGUCAUCUGCAGGAAUAUCUGCCACAGAGAAAACAAAAAACCCAUGACAGGAGGCAAUUGGUCUGCCUUCUUCUUUAUUGUCACCCAUCAUCUAAUCCUGUGCCUGGUAUGUUUGCAUCUAUCAGAGGAGUGGAUGCAUGUGCGAAACUACUGAGGAAUACAGAUAUGUGAAAACCCUUUCAAUGUUAGGAAUCAGCAAACAUGGAUCACAGGAACUGAGGAAUGGGAGCUGUUGAGAGAGGGAUGCCUCGGUGGUUCAGCGAUUGAGUGCCUGCCUUUGCCUCAGGGAGUGAUCCCAGUCCGGGGAUCAAGUUCCACAUCGGGCUCCCUGUGAGGGAGCUUCUCCCUCUGCCUACGUCUCUGCCUUUCUCUCUGUGUG